CACACACACACACAAACAAA
rnacentral:miRNA from 1 species